AACGAACGCUGGCGGCAGGCUUAACACAUGCAAGUCGAGCGCCCCGCAAGGGGAGCGGCAGACGGGUGAGUAACGCGUGGGAAUCUACCCAUCUCUACGGAAUAACGCAUGGAAACGUGUGCUAAUACCGUAUACGUCCUUCGGGAGAAAGAUUUAUCGGAGAUGGAUGAGCCCGCGUUGGAUUAGCUAGUUGGUGGGGUAAAGGCCUACCAAGGCGACGAUCCAUAGCUGGUCUGAGAGGAUGAUCAGCCACACUGGGACUGAGACACGGCCCAGACUCCUACGGGAGGCAGCAGUGGGGAAUAUUGGACAAUGGGCGCAAGCCUGAUCCAGCCGUGCCGCGUGAGUGAUGAAGGCCCCAGGGUUGUAAAGCUCUUUCACCGGUGAAGAUAAUGACGGUAACCGGAGAAGAAGCCCCGGCUAACUUCGUGCCAGCCGCCGCGGUAAAAC
rnacentral:rRNA from 1 species